rnacentral:tRNA from 1 species
GCUAACGUAGCUUAACUAAAGCAUAACAUUGAAGAUGUUAAGAUGGGCCCUAGAAAGCCCCGCGAGCAC